UAAACGUGUUGCUUCGACCCUCUUCAAAUCCUGAGGAUUUUCUUCUUCUCUUUUUCUUUUCUGGUCUUUCUUUCCUCUUCUUCUGCAGGGUGAUAAGUGUUCACUUGUUUUAUUUGCAUGCACAACACCAGGUGACUGUGCGUACCAAAACAUAUGCCUCGUCUCUUCCCGCCCUUGUCUGACAAACUUCAUUUGGAAAAUUAUCAUUUAGCUUGUUCAAUGCACCGUGUUACAAUGACAUGAAUCUUGAAUUUUUUCUUUAUGGUAUCAUUGGUUCGGAUCAACAUGUCAGUGCUCAUUAACUUUUCAUCACGAGAAAUCUCGCGAUUAAGAAAAGGUCGAGGCACAGAUGGGCGGAAUUCGGAAAACGAAAAGGACGCUAGUCAGAUCUUCGUAAAGCCAUCCAUCUUUUCAUGGGGAAUUUUGCUAGUAGCGCAGUCAACGAGGUGCACAACAAGUUUAUUGAAGCAUCAAGGGACCUCUUCGCAAUGCAUAAGGCACAGGUCGGCCACACCGAUCUUGAGCUGAAAAUUCUUUGAACAUAGCUUCAAUUUGUUUUGAUUUAUGGGAGACCUUGUUUAUAUGUUUCAGUCAAUUAGGACUAAUAAUGCCCUAAGGAGAGGGCAAUUGGAUUCACUGUACUUUCCAGAGAGGAUAAUGACACAAACGGUCACUGAAUUUUGACCCAAUGUGCAAUUCGGUCCUUGAACUUUUAAUAUGUUCAAUGUAGUCCCUAAACUUUAGCCUAAUGUUUAAUAUGAUUUCUGAACUUUUAAUUUAUUCAA